rnacentral:rRNA from 1 species
GUGCCAGCAGCCGCGGUAAGACGGAGGGCGCAAGCGUUGUUCGGAAUUACUGGGCGUAAAGCGCGGGCAGGUGGCCCGUUAAGUCUGCGGUGAAAUCCCGGAGCUCAACUCCGGAUAUGCCGCGGAUACUGGCGGGCUAGAGACCGGUAGAGGCAAGUGGAAUUCCAGGUGUAGCGGUGGAAUGCGUAGAUAUCUGGAAGAACACCGGUGGCGAAGGCGGCUUGCUGGGCCGGUUCUGACACUCAUCCGCGAAAGCGUGGGGAGCAAACAGGAUUAGAUACCCGGGUAGUCC